AUGGACGCAAGUCUGAUGGAGCAACGCCGCGUGAGUGAAGAAGGUUUUCGGAUCGUAAAGCUCUGUUGUUGGUGAAGAAGGAUAGAGGUAGUAACUGGCCUUUAUUUGACGGUAAUCAACCAGAAAGUCACGGCUAACUACGUGCCAGCAGCCGCGGUAAUACGUAGGUGGCAAGCGUUGUCCGGAUUUAUUGGGCGUAAAGCGAGCGCAGGCGGAAAAAUAAGUCUAAUGUGAAAGCCCUCGGCUUAACCGAGGAACUGCAUCGGAAACUGUUUUUCUUGAGUGCAGAAGAGGAGAGUGGAACUCCAUGUGUAGCGGUGGAAUGCGUAGAUAUAUGGAAGAACACCAGUGGCGAAGGCAGCUCUCUGGUCUGCAACUGACGCUGAGGCUCGAAAGCAUGGGUAGCGAACAGGAUUAGAUACCCUGGUAGUCCAUGCCGUAAACGAUGAGUGCUAAGUGUUGGGAGGUUUCCGCCUCUCAGUGCUGCAGCUAACGCAUUAAGCACUCCGCCUGGGGAGUACGACCGCAAGGUUGAAACUCAAAGGAAUUGACGGGGGCCCGCACAAGCGGUGGAGCAUGUGGUUUAAUUCGAAGCAACGCGAAGAACCUUACCAGGUCUUG
rnacentral:rRNA from 1 species